rnacentral:rRNA from 1 species
AGAGUUUGAUCCUGGCUCAGAAUCAACGCUGGCGGCGUGCCUAACACAUGCAAGUCGAACGCGAAAGUCCCGCAAGGGAUGAGUAGAGUGGCAAACGGGUGAGUAACACGUGGGUGACCUGCCCUCGAGCGGGGGAUAACGUCCCGAAAGGGACGCUAAUACCGCAUAACAUCCUGCCUUUGAAGAGGCGGUGAUCAAAGCUGGGGAUCGCAAGACCUAGCACUCGAAGAGGGGCCCGCGUCCGAUUAGCUAGUUGGUGGGGUAAUGGCCCACCAAGGCAACGAUCGGUAGCCGGCCUGAGAGGGCGGACGGCCACACUGGGACUGAGACACGGCCCAGACUCCUACGGGAGGCAGCAGUGGGGAAUUGUUCGCAAUGGGCGCAAGCCUGACGACGCAACGCCGCGUGGAGGAUGAAGACCUUCGGGUCGUAAACUCCUUUCGAUCGAGACGAAUUCCUCCGGGGUGAACAAUCCCGG